rnacentral:rRNA from 1 species
UGAUGCGAUCAUACCAGCACUAAUGCACUUGAUCCUAUCAGAACACCGCAGUUAAGCGUGUUUGGGCGAGAGUAGUACUAGGACGGGUGACCUCCAGGAAAGUCCUCGUGGUUCAUAAC